GGCAACUGUUAGUAGCUUCCACCAGCGGUCGGGGCAGAGCAACUCCAUGAAGGUUUUCAGAUGUUAUUCUGGCAACAAUUUUGGCAACCAAGUCUGAAAUGUGUGGCCAAAAAUUUGAACUGAAGAUUGAUAAUGUGCGAUUUGUUGGGCACCCAACACUGCUACAGCAUGCUCUGGGGCAGGUCUCCAAAACAGAUCCUUCCCCGAAGAGGGAAGCACCUACUAUGAUUCUUUUUAAUGUGGUGUUUGCACUGAGGGCCAACGCAGACCCGUCAGUGAUAAACUGUCUGCAUAACCUGUCCCGUCGUAUCGCCACCGUGCUGCAGCACGAGGAGCGCCGCUGCCAGUACCUCACCCGGGAGGCUAAGCUGAUCCUGGCGCUCCAGGAUGAGGUGUCCGCCAUGGCUGAUGGAAAUGAAGGUCCUCAGUCCCCAUUCCAUCACAUCCUACCCAAGUGCAAGCUGGCCAGGGACCUCAAGGAAGCUUACGACAGCCUGUGCACAUCGGGCGUGGUUCGGCUUCACAUCAACAGCUGGCUGGAGGUGAGCUUCUGCCUGCCCCACAAGAUCCACUAUGCGGCCUCCAGCCUGAUCCCCCCAGAGGCCAUCGAACGGAGCCUGAAAGCCAUCCGCCCCUACCACGCCCUGCUGCUGCUCAGUGAUGAGAAGUCCUUGCUGGGUGAGCUUCCUAUUGACUGCUCCCCUGCCCUAGUGCGGGUGAUCAAGACCACAUCUGCUGUGAAGAACCUGCAGCAGCUAGCCCAGGAUGCGGAUCUGGCCUUGCUGCAGGUUUUCCAGCUUGCAGCUCAUCUGGUGUACUGGGGCAAGGCCAUCAUCAUCUACCCGCUGUGUGAGA
rnacentral:sRNA from 1 species